CAGCUUCUUCAGUCCCAUCAUGCACUCUGUGUCUCUGGGAGGACUCGUCUGUGUUUCCUGUGAGGCGGCGACACUCUGACCACAGAUCAGCUCUGACCACAGCAGCGGGAACAAACUCUGCAGCGAACAUGUCAGGUUUCCUCUGAACGUUCAAACUGCUGCUGGCUCCACAGGAAGUCUCUGUUUCCCAGCAUGCAGCGCAGCUCAGCUCCGUCACAGCUGACAGUGAUCAGUUAGUUCAGGCUCCGCCUCCUCGUUUCGGCAACAUGGCCGCUUCUCUGUGACACUGAUGGAGUGAGACAGGAAGCAGACGUUACCCGGACACUUUCACGUGUCUGUUAUCAAACUGAGAGAAAGUCAAACACGUCUUCAAACUCAUUUCUUGUUUUCCUGAAAGUUUGAAAGUGUGAUUUUUCUUUUAUUCACAUACUGACAUUUGACAGCAGCGGUAAACCUUUCGAGCAGCAGCCAGAUAGUUGAUCCAGAAUGACUUUGACGCUGUUGUUGCUCGAGCUAACAGGUGCUAACUGGCUAAUUCUGGAAGCAGUUGUUUCUAGCUUAAGAGAGGCAGGGGCCACGUGAUUGGCUGACAGGUGAGGACAGUGACAACACUACUGUCGCGAAAAAGUGCAUCCUGAAAUAAAAAGUUCUGUUAUGAAAUAAAAAUUAAUAAAACUAUAAACUCCUUACGUAUUAUAAUAAGAAAAAUUGUUUAAUUAAACUGUUUAAUUUAUAUUUUGUACAUAUUAUAAUUGAUUCGCAUGACUUUUUAUUUCAGAAUUAUUUAUUUAAUAUUGAUUUCUUUGGGGCUCCAUACAUCGGCCAAGUGCUUAUUUACAUACAGAAAAAUACAGUUAGUCUGAGUUUGGGUCCAUUUAGUUUGCUGACAGGCAGAAGACGACGCCAUUAACCCUCGAAAGAGAGAUUCCCAGAGAUCAGGUCUUAGUCUACAGGAACACUGUUGGAGUUUUAGAAUGAAGCAGAAGAGAUGUGUGAUAGGAGCUAAGACCAACUUGGCAAACAAAAGCAAACUGAAGAAUCCUCCCGGGAUAAACGAAACAAAUGCAUCUCGCUUGUGUUUCAUCCCAGACUCCAGCCAUGACUCGGACCGUGAGACGCACUUUUCUGAGGAGCUUAAAGCCUGAAAACUUCCCUCAGGUGAGGUGCGAUGCUCCCGGGCCGGGCAGGCUGAGGGCGCGAGACAGCGAUGACCUCGACUCUCAGUCCAGGUUUAGUUACAACUCUGGAGUAAUGCAAGAUGGACAGCAAGAGACUGACAUUGACUGUUGACUAAAGAAUUCCUUUCAAAUGAAUCGAUCAGCUGCAUACGGGGCAACAUGGACGCACGUCUCUCAGUAAAUUAUAACCAUCAAGCCAGAGUAUAAACAGUGUUUUAUAUUUGAAAAUGUAUAAAAGAAAAUCUGUAUUGUUAUCGAUAAUUUUAAGACUCAGCUGAGUUAGUACUGACUUUUCUUAGUGAAUACAGUGUGUUUGUACGUCAGUCUGUUCUGCAGAGGUCGACUUCCUCUGAGACGCACGGAGCAAACUGUUGUUCGGAGGGAGGGUUGUGGUGGGAGCACCGUCAGGUGUGACUGUGUGGCAACUGGUUGUCAUGGCUCACGGGUCAGUAGCAGGGCUUUGCUUCGGGCCCCAGGGAGGUCAGGACCGGCUCUACCCCCAAAGGCCCUUGAAGACAUCACUAAACGCCUGCUAACAUUUGAUGAAGAUGCGACAGUCCGAGUCGUCACCCCGGGACAGCCACUGCUACCUCUGCUUCACAGCUUGCGCGACCUACUCACAGGCGCCCGCUGGUGGCGAAGCUGUGCGGCACAUUCACAAACAUCAGUACUUCAGAAAGUACUAAAUUAUAAAGACAUAUCGCAGCAGAACAUUUGGAAUAUAAACAUUAUAUAUAAACAAAUAAGGAUCCGGUUGCAAAGUGACCUGCUGACCUGCGGAGUCAGACAGAAGCGAGCUCAGCAGCCCGCUGCUCGUCUCUGCUGCAGGCCACGUUAGCCGCCGCUCGCAUAGCACGCCACGACCUCACACCCGGCUGCCAGUGACACAGGGAAGUCACUUAGUGGCAGUUCUGCUCCUAAAACGGUGCUGGCCAACCGCCGUUAAAAACAAAAAGAAGAAGAAAGAAUAAAAUCUAAAACCUCCCAGAGCACAAAAAUAACCUUUAUUGAUAUUUUAUAUUUGCUCUCUUUCAUACUUUGUACUGCAGCUGCUGCACAACUGUUUCCCUCUGAAUACUGACAGUUAUAUCUUAUCUAUCUUAUCUUAUCUUAUGUUGUAAAUGUUUAACUGCAGUCAGUGCGACGAUGGCUGCUGAUGUACAGGUCAGGUCAAACGUCCUCAUGAUUAGAGCAUCAUUUCCUUUCAUCACAUGAUAUAUCAUUUGUAUCUGAUGAUGGGAAAUUCCUGAGACCAGAGUGAACACGCACACGGAGAAAAGAAACGUAAAGGAAGGAGGAUUCGUUGGUUUUCAAACAUCACAGAUCAUCAGGAUCCGUUUCCCAUCGAGUGCUGCAACCUGCGAAGGAAGGACAGAGUUUAACUCAAACACAAGAAUUUACUGUCUGAAGAUGAUGUCUUGAGAAAAGGGGAUUGAUGGGGGACACUGAAUCUGUCCCAGCUGAGAGACACGGCAUCCAACAGAUCAACAGAGGAAGAGAGCGAUGCAGGAACUGGAAUCCAAAUGGAGAUUGAAGGUUUGAAUGAGGGGGACAGUAGAGAGGUAGAAGGAGGUGCAGGAAAGAUGGAGAAAACCAGACAUUUUGGGGUAAAAAUGAAAAUAUUUGAAACUUUCAUCAGGUGAUUCUGUGUCGGUUUGCAUCUCUCUGACGUUUUCACACAAAAAACAGAUUUCGUCCUGGCCUCUGUUUUCCUGUAACGCUGAUCAGCUCUGUCUGUCCCGAUGACCACAUUUCCCCUUCAACCUCAUUAAAGUUUCAUUUAAUCUAAUCGUGAGAUUGACGUCAGCUUUUAGGAAACAGCUCCUGCUUUUAAAACAGAGCUCGGUACGAGAAAUACCUAAAUAUUCAUUUCUUUUAAACAUUUCUUGCGCCUACCUUUGGGUUUGGCACAUCAGAAGCUCCGCUAAAUGUUUUGAAUACGUUGUUAGCGAGGUGAUUCCCGUGUUCUUCAAGUCCUGCAAACUCAAGUGGGACGAUAAAGGUGACAGCCUGAAAUGUUCAGUUGAUCGGUGACGAAUUAAUCCCCAAAUAUUUUGAUUAUCAAGUCAUCUUUUCAGUUAUUUAUUCAGCAAAAAUGCUGCUUCUCAAAUGUGAGGAUUUGCUGCUUUUCUCACUUUUACAUUAUUGUAAAUGAUGGGGGGCGUGGCUCUGAUAUCUCAUCAACCGUUGGAAGGAUUGUGAUGAAAUGUGGUUCACACAUUCAUAACUUUGGUGAUCCUCUGACCUCUCUCUAGGGCAGAGGUGGGCAAUUAAUUUUUACAAGGGGCCACAUGAGAAACCUGAAUUGUGUCAGAGGGCCAAACAUCAGUCCUAACAUGUCCAAACAUGCAUUCACCUCUGUGAACAAGUCAUUACCAGCGGUUGUCCCUUUCAUCGACUGCAUGGCUGCCAACUCUGACAACAUUUGAAAGUCUGCAGUUUUCCCACGUGAGAAGACGAGUAGCUGGGCGGUGUCACGUACAUCGCAGCUCUCGUCCAGAGACAAACAGUCAAAGUCGGCCGCUCUGUUCUUCAGCUGAAGCUCCAAGUUUCCAGCGACGUCCUCAGCCCGCCUCGUGACAGCGCGCCGGGAGAGUGACGCGUUCUCAAACGCGCCCUUUUCCUCCGGCAGCGCAGCGCAACAGAGUCCAAUAAGCACUGCUUAAUAAACUCUCCGUCAGAAAACGCCGUACUUUUUCUGGCCAUUUUGUGAGAAAGGACAUAACUUGUCCUGACGGCUGCAUCUGUGGCGGUGUGAAGUUUCGUAAGAAGUCCUUGUUGGGUGUGAAGUUUUGCUAGCAACGCAUCAGACUCCCGAGCGCUCUUCAUCAGACAGAUUUCUGUAUUUAUCCUCGUGCUCGGUCGUGUAGUGGCGAUUCAAAUUAUAAUCCUUUAACACGGCGACCUGUGUACCACAGAUUAAGCACACGGCUUUACCUUUAAUUUCUGUAAAGAAAUACCUGGCGGUCCAUGUCUUGUCGAAAACACGGCAUUCGUUAUCAACUUUUCUUUUCUUAGCGUGAGCCGACAUCUUGAGGGUAACCUGGCCAGCGUCGCUGUUCACCUCACAGCUCACGCUCGCUCCGAGAUACUGAAAUAAGUCCACACCGCAGACAUGUUGGCUCUUAUCCAGAUCACCGUGUGCUGGCUGCGCUUUUUAAUUGCGUCAUUACGAUUGUGUUUCGGUGCAUAUAAUCCCUAUAAUCUAUGAUUGGCCUCACGCGGGCCGGACAGGGACGUGAAAAGGGCCGGAUGUGGCCCGCGGGCCGUAGUUUGCCCAGGUCUGCUCUAGGGCUAACCCUACCCCUGGGGGCAAUUAGGGCAAUGUUUGACCACCAGGGGGAGCCAAGAGCCACGUCACAGAAUCGGUAGGUUUUUGAAAACGGCGCCCUGGCGAUCACAGCUUCAACACCACUUUAACGGUCUUCCUAGCUGAACAUGUGUAACUGUGGUAAAACCUGGUCUCCUUGUCAAUAGGGAUUUAUAAGGACUUGAUUUUUAAAAGGCACUCAGCUUUUAAUGAGCUGCUCUAUAACAUAUUUCUUAUAUUGAGUCUUUGUUGACUUAUUUGGUCCUCUUCUAUGCCCCAGGACAUAUGUCCCAGGAUUCCUGGGUAAGAAGUCUCUGUAUAAGCCCCUGGGUCUUCCAAAGCCAGCUUGGGAAGACCUCCAGGAACCACCACCCCCCCUCCAGCUGAGUACCAUGCCCCAGGAUGGGCUCUCAUUCCUGAAGAAGCAGACUCCAUGCGCCUGGCUGGGCCUUGUAAAUACAGAUCCACAAGACCCAGGAGGAGGCCUGGUUCUCCAUGCUUCAAGACUGGCUCACAUUCCUGGGUAUACCUCCAGGAGUGAGGCCCCUUAACCCCCACUAAUCCAGCCCCCUCCAGCUGGCUGACAUGCCCCCAGGACAGACACUUCGUCCUUGGGAGACUUCCAGGAGCCAGGACCCCCUCCAGCUGGAGCUCCAUGCCCCAGGACAGGCACUCAUUCCUGGGGAAGAAGUCUAUCUAUAGGCCCCUGGGUCUUCCAAAGCCAGCUUUACAAGGCAGGGUACCCCGCCCCAGGGCAGGCACUUACUCCAGGUGAGACCUCUUGGAACCAGGACCCCCACCAGCUGGAGCUCCAUGUGUGGUACGUAAUGUCAAUUUCUGUGAAGGCUUCACAUCCGACGACACUGACAUUUGUCUAUGGAAUUACAUUUUUACUAGUUUUCCGUACAGUAUUACAAGGUUUCCAUUACAGUCUCAAACCCGCAACCCCUGACCCUCCUGAUCUGCGAGCUGAAGGCAAAAUGAUCAUUUAAACACAAACACAAACAUUUAAGUGGAAAUACAACGUUAGAUUUUUAUUAGCAAGCACUUGAAGUCAACGGGUUUUAAAAAAAAGAAGAAGAAAAACAACCAAUCACAGAGCAACUCUGUUUGUGUGUGUGUGUGUGUGUGUGUUUUCUCUUUUGAUGGAGCCAGGCUAACAGUUUCCCCCUGCUUCCAGUGUUUGUGCUAAGCUAGGCUUAACACAUCCUGGACCUGGGCCUCUGUACUGGACACACAGAGAUGAAACUGAUAUCCAUCAGAACACAAGCGGUCGGCUGGUAGAAAUAAUAUAUAUAUUAACGUGGAAAUCCACGGGAACUGAUUUCUACACUAAAUCAACAAAUGAAUAAACUGAAAGGAGAAAACUAAUAUUUGGAGAAGCGUUCAGUCAAAUUAGAUUCAUGGAACAAUAAGACUUCAGAUAGCUCACAUCUGACCGUCAGAAUAAAAGUGUUGAGAGUGUAAAGAAAAUACCCACUGAAUGAAAGCACUGAUUAAUAAUCUGAAAAUAUUAUACUGAAACACAUGACCUCUUGUCCUUGAUCAGCCAAUCAGAGCACAGCAUAAGAUGCUGUAAGAGUCCUGUUUCACUAUAAAUGUGUAACGUCUAUGUGUAAACUUGUGUUUUAUUAAUCAAAGGUUAACUGUACAGUGGCCAACAUGCUGUGGCUGUUUUCCAUCUGUUAAGUACAACAAAUGUGAUAUUAAAAUAUUAUAACUGCAAUGUAAUACAAAUUAUUAUUUCUUUUUUUUUUUUACUGAAUAAUAGGUUAUUGCUUUUAUUCUGAAAGCCAGAUGCAUGAAAGCCUAUUUCAAAACUUCCUGUGGCCCCCCUCAGACGACUGCAAGACCCCCAACUCCUACUUGUUUUUGUCACUCCUGUUAUUAUUCUUUGUCUUAGUUCUGUUUGGGGGAUAAUCCUGUUGUAGAACUACAGUUCCCAUUAAGCUUUGGGGAUGCUAUGGACUCAGUGACUCAGCUGUGGGCUCCACUUUGAGCUGUUGUUUCAGCCUGUAUGUGUUCACAUGCAGUCAGACUGUCCCGUCAGAGCAGCCGAACCAGCAGUCAGCAGCUCCUGUCUGCAGUGGACCCGUGGACGGACAGACAGCUGUCUCUGGAUCACUGUGAGACUGAAGGAAACUUAGAAACAGCAGGAUUCUCAGGCAGCUUCUGCAGCCGCUUUCUGCUCUGGCGUCUAAGUGGAUUCAUUGGUCAAAUCAGCAGCCAAACUACAAUAACUAGCUUACACCUGCCGUAAAGCGAUCAAAGAUUUCGACGCAAAUAUGUAUAUUUCAACCAUACGACCUCUAGUGGGCUCCAUAAUCUGACAGGAUUUACCAAAAUGUCAGAAUGUUCCUUUAAGUGUGAGUGUGAUGAAAGGAAAGCUCCACUGAUCUCUGGUUUGGUGGAAUUUCCCUUUACCACAGGUGUUGACACAUUCAGUAAGUGUACAGGUGUGGGUGACAUCACAGCCCAGCAGGUGUGUCAGCAGAGUGAAGCCAUAUAACAACACGGCUGAGGAUGGUUGCAGCCCUUUAGCCCAGUGUUUAUGUGUUAAGCUGCCAAGAAUGAAAUAAAGACAGAGCUCUCGUUUCCCAAACAGACCUCAGCGCAGAUUUAUGAAAUACUUUAAUUUUCCUGUUUUCAAACUGUGACUGUGGUUCAAAACCACGAGGGUCCACGUUCAGAGUCUCUCAGUGUCCA